rnacentral:rRNA from 1 species
CCUACGGGUGGCUGCAGUGGGGAAUCUUGCGCAAUGGGCGAAAGCCUGACGCAGCGACGCCGCGUGGGUGAUGAAGGCCCUCGGGUUGUAAAGCCCUGUGGGGAGGAACGAACCGCUCGGGGGUGAACAUCCUUCGGGCUUGACGGUACCUCCUUAGCAAGCAUCGGCUAACUCUGUGCCAGCAGCCGCGGUAAGACAGAGGAUGCGAACGUUGCUCGGACUUACUGGGCGUAAAGCGCGCGCAGGUUGCAAUCCCUCUGCUCAACGGAGGAAGUGCACGGGAUACUGCGAGGCUGGAGUACAGAAGAGGACAGCGGAAUUCCCGGUGUAGAGGUGAAAUUCGUAGAUAUCGGGAGGAACACCAGUGGCGAAGGCGGCUGUCUGGGCUGAGACUGACACUGAGGCGCGAAAGCGUGGGAAGCAAACAGGAUUAGAUACCCUUGUAGUC